CUGGCUCAGGAUGAACGCUAGCUACAGGCUUAACACAUGCAAGUCGAGCGGAACUGCUUCGGCAGUUAGCGGCAGACGGGUGAGUAACACGUAUCCAACCUUCCCCUUACUCGGGUAUAGCCUCGGGAAACUGAGAGUAAUCCCCGAUGUGGUGUACGCUUCGCAUGUAAUGCACACCAAAGAUUAAUCGGUAAGGGAUGGGGAUGCGUUCCAUUAGCUUGUAGGCGGGUAACGGCCCACCUAGGCGAUGAUGGAUAGGGGUUCUGAGAGGAAGGUCCCCCACAUUGGAACUGCGACACGGUCCAAACUCCUACGGGAGGCAGCAGUGAGGAAUAUUGGUCAAUGGCCGAGAGGCUGAACCAGCCAAGUAGCGUGCCAGGAUGACGGCCCUACGGGUUGUAAACUGCUUUUGUGCGGGAAUAACGGUCGACACGUGUGUUGAUGUGCAUGUACCGUACGAAUAAGGAUCGGCUAACUCCGUGCCAGCCGCCGC
rnacentral:rRNA from 1 species